CAUCAUCAACGCCAGAGCUUAAGUGGGUGCUUAGGUUUUUUUGUAAUUAAAAAAAAAGAAAAAUUACAAUUAUCGUAAGCUUCGGAGCUUAAUUAAGCAACAGAAGCAAACGGUGCUUGGGGACACGUGUUACAAUUAGACAGAGUCUGGGGUUCUUUCCUUUCUCUCUCUCCACAGAUCAAUUUGACGAUUCAUCACCUCACCCUCUGUUGAUUUCCUUCACGCUUCAUCACUCUACCUUGGUUCUCCUCCACGAUCCAACGGAUAAAGAGAAGAAGACGACGAAGAAGGUAUCGGCCAGUGGGAGAGGAUGAGCCUGAGAGGCGUUUAAGGGGAAGAAGAAAGUUCGGUCUCGGUUUCCUCCUUCUCAUCUCCACGUUGAUUUCUUCUGGGUUUUAUGAUUCUUGUUCAAGUCUUUGAUCAGAUUCUUUAAUCGCAUCAAAGACCCAAAUUUUUAUUUGUCUGCAUGAUCAGAUUCUUUAAUCGAAACACUAAUCUUUUGGUUUGGUUCUAUUUUUGAUUGACUUAAGCGACUUGUUGUUAUUGAAGGUGGUUUACGUGGAUGAAAAGUGAAUCCGGCGAAUGGGCAGACACGAAGAGCAAUCAGUAACAUAAACAAGAACAUCAUCGGAGCUCCGGUUUAUCCUUGUGCUAUCAACAAGCGACCUUUGUCUGAUCACGGACAUUAAACGAGUGGAUGAGGCUUCUUGGGGUGCUUAUAAUCAGUGUUUUUCUUAAUGGACAAGAACUGAACUCGUUUUUAUGCAUGCUUUAUCUCAAGAUGCCAACGACUCCUGCGGGGAUGAGACCAUGUCAUCAACUCAGUCUACGGAAUAUGCGCUAAUGGGGAUAUUCAGCACACGUCUCAACACAGUUACAGAUGAGUCAUUUGGUGUGGUGGUUUCAGAAAUACAAGGAAUGGACUCGGUGAUGCGAGUGUCAAGACUGAAAAAGAGGAUAGUUUUGGUUGAGAAAGAGAGCGGGUUACAGAGGAGUGACUGUAUAUGGGUAGUAGCACUAUGUUUCAGUGGACACUCCUUUGGAUGGUGAUACUUGUACUUGUCUCAGGACUAUUCUGAGGAACUGUGCGAGUGUUCGUGCAUUAGAGGUUGAAGAUGAACAAGUUAUUAUCAUGGCAAAUAUGCUCAUCACCAUCGUAGGCUCAUCAUCAUCAUAUCUAAAAAAACAAUGUUUUUUUUCUUUAAGCACCCUAAAAUAAGCAAUCUCCAUUGGAGAACAACAAUUUAUAAGUUUUUUAGAUUAAGUGCUUAACACAUUUUUAUUAUUAAAAAUUGAUUAAGCACUCCAUUUAGGAGGCUUGGGUUAA